CCUACGGGAGGCAGCAGUGAGGAAUAUUGGUCAAUGGACGAGAGUCUGAACCAGCCAAGUAGCGUGAAUGAUGACUGCCCUAUGGUUUGUAAACUUCUUUUAUAUGGGAAUAAAAUGUUCCACGUGUGGGAUUUUGUAUGUACCAUAUGAAUAAAGAUCGGCUAACUCCGUGCCCGCAGCCGCGGUAAUACGGAGGAGCCGAGCGUUAUCCGGAUUUACUGGGUUUAAAGGGAGCGUAGGUGGAUUGUUAAGUCAGUUGUGAAAGUUUGCGGCUCAACCGUAAAAUUGCAGUUGAAACUGGCAGUCUUGAGUACAGUAGAGGUGGGCGGAAUUCGUGGUGUAGCGGUGAAAUGCUUAGAUAUUACGAAGAACUCCGAUUGCGAAGGCAGUUCACUGGACUGUAACUGACACUGAGGCUCGAAAGUGUGGGUAGCAAACAGGAUUAGAUACCCUUGUAGUC
rnacentral:rRNA from 1 species